AAUCUCAGGAUUAUUUGCCAACUGCCUAUGUUUUCUCUGCAAUCUACUCCAAUAAAAGUAUCUGUGCACCAGGCGCAGUGGCUCACACCUGUAAUCCCAGCACUUUG